AGCUUGAGCCGAAUGGGUUUAAAACCAAAUUUCACAGCGGCCAAUUGUAUCUUAACACGUAAGCCAUCCAAACAAAGACUUGCUGCAUCUCAAAGCAGGCGAUUCCCUCCCAUCUAUUUCCUUCUCCACAUGUUGGGCUUGUCUCAGGAAGAACUCUUUCUAUAGCUUUCGGUUAAGGAUGUCAUUGUUAACGAUCCAUCUUCAGGGCUCAUUUUGUUUGAUAUUGGUGUUGCUCAUAAAAAGCUCUCCCUUUCUCUCUUUGAAAAACCUCCAGUUUGUAAACCUCAAGACCUGGUAUUGGAGAGGGAUGGGAAGAACAAGAUGGGAUUUCAAGCUCAGAGAUGAAAGAUGAGUCUUUCAUUUGAGAGGGAGAGAAGGGUUGGUGCAGGUGCUGAUGGGAACGAAGAGGCUUGCGGCUUGGAGAGAACGGUUGAUUUACGUCUGGGUUGUUCGUCUGGAGAAGGGUUGAUGCAGGUGCAAUGCAGCGAGAAUGGGAGAAUGGAGAGAACGGAAGAAUUACGUGUGGA